rnacentral:rRNA from 1 species
GUCCACGCCGUAAACGAUGUAUGCUGGACCGGUGCGGUUUUGACGCCGUAUCGGUCGUAGGAAAACCGUUAAGCAUACCGCCUGGGGAGUACGGUCGCAAGGCUAAAACUCAAAUGAAUUGACGGGGGCUCACACAAGCGGUGGUGCAUGUUUGCUUAAUUCGAGGCAACGCGAAGAACCUUACCUGGGUUUGACAUGCUGGUAUUAACUCUAUGAAAGUAGAGCCACAGUCGCAAGACCGGAACCAGCACAGGUGCUGCAUGGCUGUCGU